CAGAGGGUGCAAACGUUGUUCGGAAUUACUGGGCGUAAAGCGCGUGUAGGCGGCGGCGUGUGUCGGGCGUGAAAUCCCAUGGCUCAACCAUGGAAGUGCACCCGAAACUGCGCAGCUAGAGUCCUGGAGAGGAAGAUGGAAUACUUGGUGUAGAGGUGAAAUUCGUAGAUAUCAAGUGGAACACCGGUGGCGAAGGCGGUCUUCUGGACAGUGACUGACGCUGAGACGCGAAAGCGUGGGGAGCAAACAGGAUUAGAUACCCUGGUAGUCCACGCCGUAAACGAUGAGUGCUAGGUGUCACGGGCUUUGACCCUCGUGGUGCCGAAGCUAACGCGUUAAGCACUCCGCCUGGGGAGUACGGCCGCAAGGCUA
rnacentral:rRNA from 1 species